UACGAAGGUGGCAAGCGUUGUUCGGAUUUACUGGGCGUACAGGGAGCGUAGGCGGUUGGAUAAGCCCUCCGUGAAAUCUCCAGGCUUAACCUGGAAAGUGCAGAGGGGACUGUUCAGCUAGAGGAUGGGAGAGGAGCGCGGAAUUCCCGGUGUAGCGGUGGAAUGCGUAGAGAUCGGGAAGAACAUCAGUGGCGAAGGCGGUCUGCUGGGCCGUUGCUGACGCUGAGGCGCGACAGCGUGGGGAGCAAACAGG
rnacentral:rRNA from 1 species